rnacentral:lncRNA from 1 species
GGCUGGGUGCCCUCGCUGAGCCCCGGCCGCUUCCAGGAGGAGGAGGAGGAGGAGGUGGUGCCGGUCAAGAAGGAGAAGACGAUUUUCACUGUCCGGCUGACAGAGCUGAAAGCCGCUGACAAGGUGAAGCUGAUCAAGGAGGUGAAGAACUUUGUGCCAGGAGUGAACCUCGUGCAGGCAAAGAAGCUGGUAGAGUCCCUUCCGCAGGAGAUCAAGGCUAAUGUGUCCAAAGAGGAAGCAGAGAAGAUCAAAGCAGCGCUGGAGGCAGCAGGAGGGACUGUGGUUCUGGAGUAGACGCCCCRUCUUGUUGCAGAGGGACUAGCGCAAUGGCAGCCUGCUGCUGCCUGCCUGGGGCACCGGCCCCUGACUGUACCAAGGUUCUGGACGUUUCCACRCGUGAGAAUGUCCUGUAGUUCUGUGGUGGGGAUGCUCCCCUGAAGUGGUCCAGUGCAAGAAUGAUGUACGGUUUGGAGGGGCUGCUGUCUAGUGCCAGCAUCACAAUGAACUCUACAUUCAUAAAUGUCAAGCCUGUGUCGUCUUUGCACCGCGCAACAGCCUUGUCUAAACCGCGGCCUGGUGUCUGUGUGUCGAAGCGCCCUUUCCUCGCCCCCCUCCUCCGGCCGCGCUGCUGCGUCAGCAUCUCGGCGAAGUCGCUCCGUAGGGGCCGGUUUGACCUUCCGGCGGAGCUCGCCGUAACCUCAGACUAGGCGGUGGUAAAUGAUUUACAGGGGCGGGCGCAGGCCUGGCGCCGAGAUCCGCAGGCGAGACGAGGCCUCGCGGGAGCGCGGACUCGCGGGGAGCCGCGUUUCGGGGCGCCGUGCCCGGCCCGCGGC